AAAAAAAUCGCUAACUUCGUAAAAUCAACUUCAUCGUUUUCUCUCCUUCUCUCACCACGCUGCGCGCUUCUCAACUCAGGUACCUUCUUUCUCUAUCCAUUUCUCUAUCUCAUUUUCAAUUUUUACUUUUCCGUUUUUUUUAAUCUGUUGUUUGAUAUUGUUGUGGAAAUUGCAUUCAAUUGUUUGGUAAAUUCAAGAUCUGAGAACUUAAUUGGUGAUUUUGUUGUGUGGAUAUGGAAUUUGUUUUUGAAUCUGAGCCUUAAUUUCUACAUUGAUGUGAUUUGGAGUUUGUUUAGUGAUAUAUGUUGCUUUGAGUUC